UGCAGUGACUUAAAUUUCAUGAGAGAAACGGUUUGUACUGCUAACAUGGACAAGAUGCCUUGAAAAAACGCACGGGCCUUUCAAAUAUCGAACAAUAAAUAAUUUUAUUUCAUAAAAAAAAUUAUUUUUUAUUUUAUUUUUAACAUAGACGCUAAAUAAUGUGGCCACAGAUAUUCGUAUAACCACUAUUUAAUAGGGUGAUAUUAAUUUUGGAUUCCAUGUUGUUCAAAUAAGUUUAAUUUUCGUUUUUUGAAGACAUAAUGAAUAAUCCCUUUUCAUUUGAGUAAACAAUCAUGGUGAAAUCAUUGUAUAGUAAUUUUAUAAAUAAUGGAAACCUAAAAAUCAGUUGUUGUGAUCUUAUAUAACCGAUAGUAAUGAUAUAUAACUUUGUGUGUUAUAUAGUAGUGUUUAGAGUUACUAGUAGUGUUGAAAUAAAACUUAAAGCCUCCAAGGAUCUCGUAUAUAAUUAAAAGUAACAUACGUUACUGAAAGUGUUGUUAUAUAAUUAAAGUUAGGCAACCCGCGCAUCGCGUUUUCAAUAAUUGACGUGCGAACAGCUGAGUUUUAAAGAACAUUUCAAGUCUGACAAUGGUUUAACACAUGUUUGAUAUAAAACAUAACCUUAAUUUAACUAAAAAUAAAACGUUUGCUAUUAAGAGUAUUAAGUAUAAGUUUUAAAUAUUUUAAAAGACAUUCAAAUGUCUUUUAAAAUUGUGCAAACUAAAGAGCCGGGGCACAAGUUGCCAUCUUUAACAAUUUUCUGGCACUUAACACUCUUUUCUGGCCCCCUGUCCAAAAGAGAAAGCUUAUUCCCAAAUUAAUAUGUGACGGCAAUUCUAGGCCCCAAUCAGAUUGGGUGCCUCAGUCCUGUAUCAGAAAAAGGAAAUUCAGUAAUGGUCCAAAAUUCGUCCCUUGAACUUUUGUAAAUUGGCAAAGCAUCCAUACUUAAAUUGAUUGAAAUAUCUGAAAAAGUCUGCAUACUCUGAUAACACUGCUUGGUGAAACAAUAUUCAAGACCUUGUUGCCAGUAGUAAACAUCGCCCACUGGUUGUAGUAGAAUAUUUGUAGGAGUCUCCAGUAAUGUUCUCGUUCCCGUAAAAUGUUUGGUAAACAAUUAUUAAUUAUUCUUAUCACUUCCUUCAAAGCCCGAUGUGUUAUGUUAAAUUCGUAACCCCAGUUUUUUAAAUCAUAUCUUAACUGUUCAUUUUUUGUGCAUUCUAAAUCCUCCUCGGAGAGAGGAGACAAAUCAUCAUCCUCAGCAAGUUCUGUCAACCACUUAUUAAGUCUGCAUUCGGCGGUAGUGCAGUCAUUCAAGGGCCGAAGAUCAUUUUCUGCCGUGGUUGGCGUUGGACUGCUAUCAUUUUGUUCUGUAAUUUGAGGGAUAUCUGGUGGCGGAAAAAAUUCAUUAUUUAUCUGUCUAACAGUAGCAGUUACCGGUACACAAUCUACGAUUCGUUUAAAAUUUUUUGUCACUUUCCGCCGAAACGCAGAGCUGUGCUUUAUUUUUUUCCAAUUUCGUAACAUAGCGAUAUUUUACAAUAAUAAAUUAAUGUUUAUUACACUGCUGUUGCUCACUGCUCACAAACAACUGGUGUUAGUACUGUUAGUAUUAACUUUGUAUCUUAAUAAUAUAUUCUUAUUCGACAAUCGACACCGCCAACCAUUUUGUCAAUCGUCAUCUGUAAUAAGUUUAUAUAUAUAAGGGCAAUUGAUUUUACUUAAGGUAACCGAUGUAUAUAAAAGAAAUGGUUGUCCUUAACUUGGUUACCAAAAGUUUUUUAAUAGGAUAUACAAACACUAAUAAUCCCCAAUUUUUUUAAUUGUGCUUAGAAACACUAUUAUAUAACUUAGAGCCUAUAUAGUUAUAUAAUUAAGGUAACGGAAAACCUUAUAUAAAUUUGUUAUAAACACAUUGGUAACAGUUACUACAUGUUUUAUUAAAUGGUGAUGGAAACAGUUAUACCACUUCUUUAUAUACCAACAAGUUACAGAAAUUUUAUAAAACCGUAAUAUAACUGUGUUACUAAAAGGUGAUUUUACAAAACUUCGUAACCUUUUUAUAUAAUUUCAUUACCUUUAUAUAGUCUUUAUAUAACUAGGAAUCACCAUAAGUUACAGAAAAUGUUUAUUGGGUAAGAGAUUGGGAUCAUCCGAAGACUGCCCCACGGUCACCUAUCUGGCUCCUUUUUCGGACCGUGCCCACCUCCAGACUCUUGGGGGUUUUAGUUUUAGGGAUAGUACACCUUCCGACUUUUUAUCUAAGUGGUAGACAAGUCUUUUCCUGUCUAUACAACUAUCCCAUAAGAAUUGAAUUGAACUUGCGACAGACCUAGUUUCAGUCCUAGAACUAUGGUCUUGUGCAUAUGUGGUGAAACUUUCGCCACUGAUACUGGGCUUCAGACCCAUUUAAGACGGCUACGCUGCCAGGGUGCACCCCUGGCUCACGGUAAUAUUUGCUCCGUAUGCAAACAAACAUAUAAAUCUUACGCUGAACUGCGACAACACAUGCGGAGAGUACACCCCGUGGAGUACAAUGAGGAGCUUGAGAACCUCUAUGAAAAGCCUAAUGCCCCCGUUGAAUUCGAGGAUGAAGAUUAUAUAGAAAUGGCCAAACAUGAACUUUCCUAUACUGGCCGUUUCAUCAAUAAACAUCUCCAGAGUAUCUAUCCUAACCGCACAAUCGACUCCAUCAAAUAUAGACGAAAACAGGAUAGAUACAAGGAACUCCUCGAAUUCCUCAGAAAAGAAGACAACAUCGAGGCCCGCGAAGACGUUCUCGAACAACUGGAGAACGAAAACGCGCGGCCCCACGAGGAAGCAGAGGGUGAUGUAGUGGAGUUCUCUCUUCUCGAGAGUCCUAGAGAUCGAGGCAGGGACUCAAGCUUUAAAGAUCGUCUAAGUCUUAAUCCGAAUGCUGAGGAGUUCGUACCCAUUGCGAUAGAACACCGGCAUAAUACUAUCUCUACGUUUCUAUAUAAUUACUGGCACGCUAAUGACGGAUGGAAAUCUUAUGACAGCACAUUAUUCCUUUACUCUUAAUUCACCAACCUAGACCGCCAUAGGGAGUGAGAAAAGAAGUGAAUGAAUAUACUACUGCUCUCUUCAACGAAGCAAGAACUGGGAAGCCCAAAACGAAGGCAAACGGAAACCGCAGGGCCCCAAUCUUUAAUAACAGGAACCAUGAGCGUUCAUAUAAAUAUAAAGUCGUCCAACGACGAUAUCGAUCCGAUCGAGCCGCUUUGGCGCGUGAUAUCCUAGACGGGAAACCGCUCUGGUGGGACGAUGUACUACCUAACAUUGCGUCAAUAGAGUCCGAGUACAGGGGCAUAUUCGGAAGUCCCUCCCUCCUAGAAAACGUACCAAUCUCAGAUCAGAAAGAGGAACAUUACCUGGACCAGCCAAUUACAGAGUCAGAUAUCCUCUGGACCAUUAACACAUCAAAAUCAUGGGCGGCUGGUCCAGACGCAGUGCCCCUGCUAGCUCUUAAAAAGGCUCCUGUGAAGAGAUUGGUUCUAUUAUAUAAUGUCAUGUUUCUCUUUGGAGUUACUCCCGAGGUGAUCCGAGGGAACAGAACGACACUUAUUCCGAAAGGGGGGACCAACGCUUGAUUAAUAACUGGACCGAUCACAAUAUUAUCGGUUAUUGUCAGGGUAUUUCAUCGUGUCCUUGGUAAGCGCUUCUCGACGUUACCGAUACACGCCAACCAAAGAGGUUUCAUGAAGAUCGAUGGUGUCCUGUUUAAUAACAUCUCACUCCAAACGCUCAUCAUGGAAAGAAGACGUAGAGUUAAGCCAUAUAACAUCUUGUCGUUGAACCUUUCUAAAGCCUUCGACACAGUAUCGCAACGGUCCAUCCUGCGAGCUCUGAACAGGUUCGGUAUAGACGAAACAACAAAAAGGUAAAUAAUGGACUCUUACCUGAAAUCUUAUACCAUAGUCUCUGCUGGCAACAAGAAAUCAAGAAGAAUUAACAUCGAUAGAGGCGAAAAGCAGGAAGACCCUUUAUCGCCCUAUCUUUUCAAUUUAGUAGUGGACGAGUUGGUUUGCGAGUUAGAAAAUGGUGGGUCGGGCAUACCUGUCUCAGAUGACAUGGAGGUGUCAGUACUAGCGCUGCGGAUGACCUAGUGCUUAGAAGCAGCUUAGAACUGUUACUGAGUUCUUUGCGAAGCGAGGGAUGUAGAUUAACCCGACAAAGAGUGUUGCCAUAUCGGUUAACGUCAACCGAGGCAACAAACACUCUUACGUAGUUAUUUGGCCUCUAUUCGCGGCAGAGGGUCAGUUCAUCCGCCAAUUAACACCUCAGGAUAUGUUUAAAUACCUGGGCAGGCGAUAUGGAGUCAUGGGACAGACUCGAUCCGCCAUUUCCGAUCUCAAAAUCCAGCUCGAUAGAAUAAACAAAGCAGGACUUCAACCGGCACAACACUUCUUGUUGCCGCGCAUACAAGAUCAAUUACAAAGCGCCAUAGUCACCAAGAAGAUUUUGAAAGCCGCUGAUACGAUCAUAAGAGUAUCCGUUAGAAAGUUUCUGGGUCUAAACCGAACAUGUGCUGAUGUUUAUCUGCAUGCCCCUAUAAGAGGUGGCGGCCUGGGUAUAACUUGCUUAUCCCAACAAGUGCCCGUAAUGCCCGUAACGAGUCACUUAGCCAUGUAUUGCAAAAAUGUCCUGCGUCACAUUGGUAGAGAAUAAGGCGGCACGACCAACUCGUUACGUAUACGCGAAAAAUUGCCGAGAAAGGAUGGGUAGUAGAAGUUGAACCGCACAUUAGAUGUAUCGACGGCGCAUUAAAGAAAUCCGAUCUUGUGUUCCAGAUGGAUUCAAGAGCCAUAGUGUGUGACAUUGCCGUCAGCUGGGAGGGACCUAGCUACUCUGAAUAAGAACGCCAUUUAUAGCGAGCUACGCUUCCUAAGUGCCAUGACAUCCCGAUAACCUGGGAAACAUUUCGUCGUGGCCCCUCUAGUCGUGGGAGCGCGUGGAAUCUGGUGUCGAGAAAAUAAUAUCAUCUCUAGUAUUCUCGGCUUUUCUAAGCAGAACAUCAGAUCUUACAUUACGAAAACUAUUAUUGGCAGCCUUUCCAUUCAUCGCUAUUUUAUGGCUCAAUCUUAAAUAGUCUGAUGAAACAUCUAUUCCACCUAAGAAGCCUACAUAUGAUUUUCGCCCGAAGGUGUACUACCAUUAGAUAUAGGUUUACGAUACACGGAUGGGAACUGCACGCACUGCAACACCACAGAAGACCAACGACAUAUAAUAAACAUUUGUUCGAUACAACAAAGACAGGAUGCUUGAGAAACCUUAACAGACAGACUAAGACAAAAACAGAUGACAUACCCAACCCACAACCCUCAGACAUUGACAUCACAGACAGACAAAUGAUCGGAUGGAUAAAUGAAUGAGGGGAAACUAUGUUCAUGGACGACAACAUACAGACAUCGACAGAAUGAAGUAAGCGCGGUGCUGGGAUGGGUUCUCUUGACAGUGGUUCCGACGGGAUGGCGUGCUGGUUCUUGGCCUAAUGCCGAAAGGUGGGUGGGCCCUUACUCUCGCUGUCUGUUGCCCAUACCCUACGAGGUGUGGACCCCACACAGCGGUGGCAUAAAUCACAGUACUCAUGUCCCUAUCCACUAUCUAGCGAAACCACUGCCAAGGGAACGGGCUUGGAAAAAUUAGCGGGGAAAGAAGACCCUGUUGAGCUUCACUCUAGUCUGGCAUUGUAAGGAGACAUGAGAGGUGUAUCAUAAGGGAGAUGGCAACAUUGCCGGUGAAAUACCACUACUUUCAUCGUUUCUUUACUUACUCGGUAAAGCGAAAGGCGUAUUCUCGAGCCAAGGGUAGGGCUGUUGAUAAAAUAUCGAUAUAUCGAUAUUAUUAUUUCGAGAUAUCGAUAUUUAUUACUAAUAUUUUUUUGGACGAUAUAUCGAUUGUUCGAUAUUGAAAUAUAGAUAUCGAUGGUCGAUAUUCUUUUAAAAAAAAUUUUUUUUUUCGUAAUUUAUUUAAUCUACAAAAUCAUCGUAAAUUUAAUCUACCGUAUUUUAUUUAUGUAAAUUAAGUUAGCCGACAUUCAAUAAUUAUUAAUUUUUUUUAUUAAUUAAAAAUUAGAAUUAGAAAACUAUUUUUCAAAAAUUCCAGGUAUAAUUUUUAAAAUUUUCUACUCGUGAAAAUUUUUGAUUUAAUUUUUUAAAAAUUAUUAUUUAAUAAAAUAAAUUAUACAAAUUUUCAAAUGUUGUUUGUUGUCGCUGUCAGCUUUCACAGCUUAGCAUAGUUAGUAUCUUUACCUCUAGGCUCUAUGUAGAUUAGUCUGUGGUUAACAUUGAGUAAAGUUAAAAAGAGAGGUUAGGAAAAAUUACUGUUUUAUUGUAAUGUAGCGGUUGACGCAAGUGUUUAUUCAUAUUAAUUUAUUAAAUAUCUAGUUACAUACAAAUAGUUCAGUAGCGAAAAAUGUCUUCUGCGACCAAUUCUUCCAUUGUAUGGACGUAUUUUAAAAAAGUUGAUGCAAGAAAUGUUUCCCACAACUUAUGCGGGAAAAAUUAUAAAAGCAGCGGAAAUACAACCAAUUUAGCAACCCACUUAAAAACGAAACAUCAUCAUGUAUAUGCCCAACUAACUAUAAAAAAAAAUACAAAUAUUAAGACAGCCACGAUUCAUAAAGCAGACGAAAACAAUAAUAUGGCGGUAGCGUUGUUACCAUUAUCGAGACCACAUACUGAACUUACUGAGAGUAAUAGCUUCUCUGACAACCAAGAGGGUCUAGUUAGUCAGGUAAUGUUUUAUUUGCAAUAUAUUAUAGUGUAAAUUUACAAUUAUGUUCUAUAAACUCUAAAAUCUCUAGAUUUAUGUAUUAGGUUAACCACCAAGAGGAGGAUACUCAAAGCUUAAAUAAUAUUUCGGUCUUUUCAAGAUGACCGAAAUUAAAACAACAAACUGUUUUGCAAUUGUUUGAAAACAGUGCAAGUUAUGAUGGUUAAUAUAUUUAAAUUUGUUAUGAUGGAGACGAGCGCCAUAUUGCAAUCACCCAAAGUUUAGUCUACAUGAUCAUUAAGGAUAAUUUACCCCUUUCUUGUGUUGAAAAAGAGGGACUACAACAAUUUGUUCGUACAACAUGUCCCCGGUAUAAAUUACCAUCAAGAUUUGAAGUAACUGAUUUAAUAGAACAAAGAUAUAGUACAACAAAAGCUAUACUAGUUAAUCAUUUACAAGAAACAAGGUACCUUACCAUGAGUAGUGACGUAGCUACAAUAACAAACUCCACAAGAAGUUUUCUAAUCGUUACAGUUCACUUCCUGAAUGUUGCUGAUGCGAGUCUUACUGCCCAUUACAUGACAGGGGUAAAAUAUUUUUGAAUGUCUUAUCGAGUUUUUUUUUAGGUAUUAAUAUAUAUUACAUAAAGUGUGCUUACUAUUACUAUACUGUUACUUUAAUUUAAGAUUGUUUUGAAAAUAUAAUGAGCGAGUUUUCUAUUGAUAAAUCGCAAAUUUCUCAACCGACAGUGGUAUCAACAUGGUUGCUACCGUAAACUUAUUUUUGGGAGCAAAGAAGAGGAUUCCUUGUGUUGCGCACACCAUAAAUUUGAUCAUAGAUGAGGUUUUAAAGAAAAAUGAAAGUUUUUUAAACUUAGCUGAUCAAAUAAAAUCUAUUGUGACCUAUUUUAAACACUCAGUAAGUGCUUCUGAUCAAUUAUGAUCUGAGCAACUAGCAGAAGGAAAGAAAGAAGGCCAAAUAUUGAUGCUCAUUCAAGCAGUAAAUACUCGCUGGAACUCUUGUCUGGACAUGAUGGAAAGAAACCUAAAAUUGUCAAUUGUCGCAAAAGUAUUGGCAUCCAGAACUAAGAAUAAUGUACCUGAUAUGGUAGCUACUUCGCAAUUAACGAUUUUGCGCGAUUUAGUAACGCUUCUUAAUCCAAUUAAAACAGUAACAGAAGAUUUGAGUGCCGAGAAAUAUGUCACAGCUAGUUUAGUUAUACCACUAACAAAUUUAUUAAAACAAGAAAUCGAACAAACUAAAACAUCAACUGCUAUUGAAGCGUCAGUACAAAAUGAUUUAUUAAAUGGUAUUCAAAGUAGAUUAGUGCCUUUACAAGAUAACCCUAUUUUGGCAAGCAACUAUCUUAGAUCACCGCUUCAAAUAAUUACAUUUCAUGUCAGCAUUGGCUGGUGCUAAUGCAUUAUCCGAACUAUCAAAAGAAAUAA